GUCUGCGUCUCCUUAGCUAUGUUGGUGGGGUAACGGCCUACCAAUGCAACGAUGGGUAUCCGAUCUGAUAGGAUGAUCCGGCCACACUGGAACUGAAUCCCGGUCCAGUCUCCUACGGGAGGCAGCAGUGGGGAAUAUUGCGCAAUGUGCGAAAGCCUGACGUAGCGACGUCGCGUGAGGGAUUAAGGUCUUCGGAUCGUAAACUUCUGUCAGAAGGGAAGAAACUAGGGUGCUCUACUCAUCAUCCUACUGACGGUACCUUCAAAGGAAGCACCGGUUAACUCCGUGCCAGCAGCCGCGGUAAUACGGAGGGUGCAUGCGUUAAUCGGAAUCACUGGGCGUAAAGCGCACGUAGGCUGUUAUGUAAGUCUGGGGUGAAAUCCCACUGCUCAACCGUGGAACUGCCCUUGAUACUGCACGACUUGAAUCCGGGAGAGGGUGGCGGAAUUCCAGGUGUAGGAGUGAAAUCCGUAUAUAUCUGGAGGAACAUCAGUGGCGAAGGCGGCCACUUGGUCCGGUAUUGAUCGCUGAGGUGCCAAAGCGUGGGGAGCAAACACGGAUUACGAUACCCUGGUAGUCCACGCCGUAAACGAUGAACACU
rnacentral:rRNA from 1 species